ACAAUUCCACUUGGGAGAGAGAAGAAAAUAAUCAUCUGAGGCAGAGUGGGGAAGGGACCUGGCUGGGAAAGACAGGAGCCUAUCAUGGUAGUCCUCUGAGAGGACCAACAAGCAGCUGACUGAAACAGAUGCAGAUACCUACACCCAACCAUUGGAUUGUGGUUGAAUUAGGAAAAUGAUGGAAGAAGCUGAAGAAGAGGGCGACCCCAUAGAAAGACCAGCAAUUUCAACUAUCCCAGACCCCUGAGUUCUCUCAAGCACCAAGUUACCAACCAGGAAGCAUACAGGAGCUGCUCUGAGUUCCCUUGACAUAUAUAUAGCAGAGGACUGACAGAUCUGGCCUCAGUGGGAGAAGAAGUGCCUUACCCUGGAGAGAUUUGAAGCCCUAAGGAGUGGGGAGGUCUUGUGGGAGUGGGGGUGCAUCCUCUUGGAGACAGGAGAGAGGAGGAGAGGGAUGAGAAACUGUGGAAGGGGGGACUGAGAAGCAGGUAUUGACUGGACUGUAAAAAGAAAAGUAAUGAAGUUGCUUCCUUGAAGUUUUGUCUGAA